rnacentral:lncRNA from 13 species
GAGGGAUCUGGAAGUAGACCCCAUGGCUUGGUGCCCACAGCUAUUAUGAUUUUUCUUGUCAGUCUUGGUAGAUUUUGUUUCUUCCAUAAAGAGGAACUCAUUUAGCUGUUUUUUGUUUUUUGUUUUUUUUUUAAGAACUCUCUGUGAACCAAGAUUCCGAGACUCAGACUUCCUGGCUGACCCGGUGAUUCUGGCUCAGUUCUCAGUGUAAGCCAAUCUUCUACCUCUCACGCAGCAUCUCUUCGUUCUGUGUCAAAUGACCCGCUGCUUUCCACAGGAGACCUGGGCUCCGCCUAUGAUCAGGAUCAGGGCUCCGUCUGGGACAAAAAUAGAUCGGAUUUGCCAGAACUACACCUUCCAUGCACAUCAUAGGAAGAUGGCGCCUUAUCUUGUUUGGAGCCUUACCCAGAUUUGCCACCAUUUUGAAAAACUACAUACUUCAUGGCAAAUCUUCUCAUGGGACUUGAGAGGUGUACACUUCUCGUUGUUUUAUUGCGUCUGCUAGCAUGGCAUUGUCAACAGAAGUAUUUACAAUUUGAAAUAAUGAGCUGGAAGCGGUGGCUCACACCUGUAGUCCCAGCACUUUGGGAGGCCGAGACAGGCAUAUCACGAAGUCAGGAGAUCAAGACCAUUCUGGCCAACAUGGUGAAACCUUAUCUCUACUAAAAAUACAAAAAUUAGCCAAGCAUGGCGGUUCAUGCCUGUAGUCCCAGCUACUCGGGAGGCUGAGGCAGGAGAAUCACUUGAACCUGGGAGGUGGAGGUUGCAGUGAGCCGAAAUCACAGCACUGCACUCCAGCCUGGCGACAGAGACUCCAUCUUAAAAAAUCACUUUAAAUUACUUUUGUUAUGCAUUAAUUAUUAUUAUUUUUUGAGACAACGUCUUGCUCUGUCACCCAGGCUGGAGUGCAGUGGUGCGAUCUCAGCUCACUGCAGCCUCUGCUGCCUCAGGCUCCUGAGUAGCUGGGAUUACAGGCACCCACCACGGCCCCCCUUCCAUGCCCCGGGACCUUGUAGGACACUUCUAGAUCUGGCCACAAGGUGGAGCAUGGCGGCUGCAGCACUGUGCUGGGGGCCCGGCUGCUGAGGAGCAUGGACCUGCACCCAGUGACGUGUCUGUGCAUCUAGAGACCCAGAGGGCUGUGGUUGACUUGCAGUGCUGACCCCAGCCCCACACUGGGAUUGCCUGGGUCUCUCAGGUAUCACUGAGAAGCUGGAUAAAGAGAGCUGGGACUGCCACCUCAGCCCACUAAAGUCUCACUGUUUUACAGGUGAGGAGACUGAGGCCCAGAGAAGGAAGUCACAUGCUGAGGUCAUCGACUAAUCAGUGGCUGAGCUGGGCUUGAAUCCAGAUUUUUUGUGCUGUGGGCCCUCUGCUUUUCCUGUGGAGAGGGGCUUCUCCCACCUGGGGAGGGGGCCCCUGUUGUAUAGGAGAGGCAGGGGAUUAAAGAUGGCCUGAGCGAGGUUAGGGUCCCAGAAACCAAGGGGCAACCCCUGUCCUGGAG